rnacentral:tRNA from 1 species
AGUCCCUUUCGUCUAAUGGUUAGGACGUUGCCUUUUCACGGCAAAGACACGGGUUCAAUUCCCGUAAGGGAUUAC